AUGGUGAACAAGCUUCUACCCGCCAUCAAGGCUUUGUGGCCGGCGUCGGAACACGGACACACAAUAUACAUUCAGCAAGAUAAUGCAAAGACCCAUAUUUCCGUGAAUGACAGUGUGUUUUGUGCAGCGGCACAGUCGGAUGGAUGGGACAUUAGGCUUACAUGUCAGCCGCCCAACUCACCUGAUUUGAACAUUCUUGACUUAGGGUUCUUUGCGGCACUUCAGGCUCUUUUUGAGAAGAUGUCCCCCGGUAAAAUUUUUGAUAUUGUUGCGAAGGUGAAAAAAGCAUAUGACAUGUACCCGGCCGAGAGAAGCAAUCAUAUUUUUCUGACCCUUCAGUCAAGCAUGCGCGAGGUACUGAAGCAGAAAGGAGGAAACCGGUAUAAGGUCCCGCACAUGAGGAAGUCUUUUCUGGCGGCACUCGAAAUGCUUCCGGACGUAGUACCCUGCGAUGCUGAUGUUGUAAUUGCUGCUAUUGAGGCCCUUCCAGAUGCUUGA
rnacentral:rRNA from 1 species